rnacentral:rRNA from 1 species
CGGACGGGUGAGUAAUGUCUGGGAAACUGCCCGAUGGAGGGGGAUAACUACUGGAAACGGUAGCUAAUACCGCAUAACGUCGCAAGACCAAAGAGGGGGACCUUCGGGCCUCUUGCCAUCGGAUGUGCCCAGAUGGGAUUAGCUAGUAGGUGGGGUAACGGCUCACCUAGGCGACGAUCCCAGCUGGUCUGAGAGGAUGACCAGCCACACUGGAACUGAGACACGGUCCAG